CUCAGGACGAACGCUGGCGGCGUGCCUAAUACAUGCAAGUCGAGCGGACCUUUCGGGGUCAGCGGCGGACGGGUGAGUAACACGUGGGCAAUCUGCCCGAUACUCUGGGAUAACGCUUGGAAACGAGUGCUAAUACCGGAUGGUCUUCUUGGUCGCAUGGCCGAGAAGGAAAAGACGCGUUCGCGUCGGUGUCGGAUGAGCCCGCGGCGCAUUAGCUAGUUGGUGAGGUAACGGCCCACCAAGGCGACGAUGCGUAGCCGACCUGAGAGGGUGACCGGCCACACUGGGACUGAGACACGGCCCAGACUCCUACGGGAGGCAGCAGUAGGGAAUCUUCCACAAUGGGCGAAAGCNUGAUGGAGCAACGCCGCGUGAGUGAUGAAGGCCUUCGGGUUGUAAAACUCUGUCAUUCGGGACGAACCGGAGUCUGAGGAAAUGCAGACUCUCUGACGGUACCGGAGGAGGAAGCCCCGGCUAACUACGUGCCAGCAGCCGCGGUAAUACGUAGGGGGCAAGCGUUGUCCGGAUUCACUNNNGGGCGUAAAGCGCGCGCAGGCGGUGAUGUAAGUCUGAGGUGAAAACCCGAAGCUCAACUUCGGGACUGCCUUGGAUACUGCGUCACUUGAGGAUAGGAGAGGCAAGGGGAAUUCCACGUGUAGCGGUGAAAUGCGUAGAGAUGUGGAGGAACACCUGUGGCGAAGGCGCCUUGCUGGCCUAUUUCUGACGCUGAGGCGCGAAAGCGUGGGGAGCAAACAGGAUUAGAUACCCUGGUAGUCCACGCUGUAAACGAUGAGUGCUAGGUGUAGGUGGGCUCAUACCCAUCUGUGCCGAAGCUAACGCAUUAAGCACUCCGCCUGGGGAGUACGGUCGCAAGACUGAAACUCAAAGGAAUUGACGGGGGCCCGCACAAGCAGUGGAGCAUGUGGUUUAAUUCGAAGCAACGCGAAGAACCUUACCAGGACUUGACAUCCCAUAGACCAGUCUAGAGAUAGACUUUCCCUUCGGGGCUGUGGUGACAGGUGGUGCAUGGUUGUCGUCAGCUCGUGUCGUGAGAUGUUGGGUUAAGUCCCGCAACGAGCGCAACCCUUACUUUGUGUUGCCAGCAUUCAGUUGGGCACUCACAAGGGACUGCCGCCGAUAAGGCGGAGGAAGGUGGGGAUGACGUCAAAUCAUCAUGCCCCUUAUGUCCUGGGCUACACACGUGCUACAAUGGGCGGUACAACGGGAUGCGAAGCCGCGAGGUGGAGCCAAACCCUGAAAACCGUUCGUAGUUCGGAUUGUAGGCUGCAACUCGCCUACAUGAAGCCGGAAUUGCUAGUAAUCGCGGAUCAGCAUGCCGCGGUGAAUCCGUUCCCGGGCCUUGUACACACCGCCCGUCACACCACGAGAAUGGGCAACACCCGAAGUCGGUGGGGUAACCUUUACGGGAGCUAGCCGCCGAAGGUGGGGCCUGUGAUUGGGGUGAAGUCGUAACAAGGUAUCC
rnacentral:rRNA from 1 species